UAUUGAAAAAAAAUUAAAAUAAAAAUGAAAGUUAUCUAUUUUCUAUCUAAGUGAGUCGCAACGUAAGCGGUGCCUAGGCGGGCUAGGCAAGUGCCUAGGCGGUCUAGGCGGGUGCCUCAGUAGGUAUAGGCUCCCUUUCAUAAUUUUCAAACGCCUAGCCAUUAAUCGGGGCGGUGACCAACUGUCUAGCGCCUAGGCGGUGCUAGGCGGGGAUUUUUAGAACAUUGUUCUUACAUGACAGCAAUAGGAAACCAUGAGAGGUAUGCUCUUUUAUUAUAGUCAAACUCUCAAUCUAGAGCACACAUUCAAACAAACGAAUAACUUUAGAUUUGAGCAAGAUGCUUGGCUAACAUCUUGCACUUGACAAAAACUAUGAUUUUCUUUUUUUAUAAAUAUAUCAUAACCUUUUGAAUGUAAGGAGAGAUGAAAAAUGCUGACAUAGCAUUGCUCUAGGGUUUAUGUGAGGAAAAAGUUUGGCCAAUAACUUGAUAAUCAGGAGGACUUCGGGAACAAUGUUGUUACAGUUUGUAACUUCAGGGUUGAUUUCGCCAAUUUUUAAAUGUCAAUGACCAAACUGUUUCCCUAUGUUUUGCUUUGCUUUGUGGGAUUCAUAACGUAUAUGCAUUAUACGUACAAUUUGCAGGGACUAUAUAGACACUGGAUUAGUUUAUAUUUUACCAGAUUCAGGUGGAGAAUCUGGAGUUCCUUAUGAGACUUACUUUCCUAUGCCAACCUCAGCAAAGGAAAAGCCAUGGUAUUCCAUAGAACAAGCAAGUGUUCACAUUACGGUGACUUCAACAGAGCAUGACUGGUCCACAAAUUCUGAGCAGUGUAAGUUGAUUUAGUCCUAUUUGGUCAUGACCAUAACUACGAGCGAACUUGUGCGGUUUAUAAGAGUGAAUGCAAACGAUUGCCUCAAAAAGAUGAAAAUGGGAUCGACACAUAUGAUCAUAGCAACUGCAGUGCCCCAGUGCACGCUGUAAUUGGUAUGGCUGGCUUUACCUUGGACGGGUUCUCAAGUGGUGUUAAUAAUUAAUCCUUGGAGUUUAUCCAAGAUUUCUGAAUUUGGUUAUCUAAGAGGAUAUGCGACAAAGAAAGAGAUGAAAUUAGAGCUUGUGAAUGCAGAUACAAGAAAGGUUGAAGACAGAUUCCACAUUACAAAAUAGCAAGGUCAUCUAAUAGGAAGAUUUACGUCCAAUGUAUAGAUAAUUUGAACAGGAGAAGAGGUGAGAAGAGGAGAGUGCCGGUCAUCAUGCCCGGAGAAAGUUGUUUUGAAAUGUCACUUAGUAUUUUCAGUACAGAUUAUAAGGUUAAUGUAUUGCGAAAAAAUUACUGUAGUUUAAACAUAUAUAGAUAAUGUAGAUCUCUUCCUUUUUCAGAAUCAUUCAACAAAUCAGAGUGCUUACUUUUAUCAAAUAUUUGUUUCUUACUC